GAGAAACUUCGCGACGGGAAUGGCUGAGGUGAACUGCCUGUCAGAAACUCGGCCCGUGAUUGGGCCAUCGGAAAGGCGGGCCACAGCCAGUCGCCAGGUCCGGAUAUUUUUCCGUCUCAGUGUGGUCCGCCUUCUGAUGGCCAUGGACUCCAGUCCUCCCAGGCAGCUACUUUGUUACCUUUCCUACACUGCAGGUGUUGGCACGGGCCUUUAACCUCAGCACCGGGGGACCAACCAUCUACAAAGGCUGGAGGGGUGGUUCAGCAAUAGAGAGCACUGGAUGCUCUUCCAGAGGACCUGGGUCUGAUUUCAAGCACCCACAGGAUGGCUCACAGCUGUAGCCACUCUAACUCGUGUCAGGGGAUAUGACACCUCACAGGCAUACAUGUACUCAUGCAACAAUUUAAGUGAAGAGUUUUCCACAUCUACAACAUACUUUACACCAUCAGGUUCACUGCUGUAGUUAAAUCUUAGCUCUCCCAAUGGAACUGAUGUCCAUAUGAUAGCGUGAUAGGAACUUAAUACUGUCAAAACCAAAGUGGUAAUGAGUCAAGAAAAUAAGUCAAAGACUAAUUUAAGAACACAGCACAUACAAAUAACAACCAGGUGUUUCAUCAUUAACGUUUAUUGAUGGGAUGGAUAAAUACAGAUUGAGAAACAUACUUGACAGCAAGAUAUCAAACUGAUAGCCAGACUAUAAAAUGUGUAUACAAUAUCCUUCUUUAAUUUUUUUUUUGAGUUUUUAAAGUUUUUUACAAAGAGCCCUUAUGAUAAUGGUCACUUACAUCCUAUCAUCAUUCACCUAACAGCAGUAGAGAUCCCAGGAGUAGCACCCAAAACUGAGGUGCCCCACGGAGGACAGAGGCAACAGCAGAAUAAUAUGCUGAGCAGUACAAAA